CCUCCCCCGGAAGCAGCGGAGCCGGGAUACGGGCCAAUCGCGGGGUUUGGACGGGGAGGGCGAGGUCCGAAUCUGCGAAACAAGCCGUCUGUCGUACAGCUGGGCCGUGGGGGACGCGCGAGCGCUGCAGAGCUGUGAGCUGUUGCCGGAACCCCGCGGGCGAGGAGCGUCCCGAAGCGGUCCGUGCUCCAGCCUCUGGCUGUGGAGAGCUCUGGCGCUGGGGCUGGCGCUAAGGACCUGUCACAGAGACUGUGAACAGUGACGCCACUGCUUUGGCAGGGGAGUGCAGUCCCUGCCCAGAAGACUGGAUGUGGUACAGAAAUCAGUGUUAUUAUUUUUCCAGUGAAAUCCAAGACUGGAAGAACAGUGUGAAGGUCUGCCUCUCACACAAUGCUACACUUGCUGUGAUAAAAGAAAAAUCAGCGUUGGUGAGCAUGAGACAUCACUUUCUUUUCUUGCAGGGAUCUUCAUGGAUUACUUAUUUCUACCUAGUAUUUGUAGUUAAUAACCUCCCCACAAAUAGAUUAGGCAAAGGCAUUUCAGCAGGAAUAGGCAAUUCAGAUUUUCUAUAUUAGUGCAAGUGUCCAUCACACUGUAGAUGCUUCACAAAAGCAGGGAAAUACAGAUUCUUCACUAUAACAGGGUAGCCUGUGCCCCGCAAGAGUUUCAGCCAGCCAGUUGACCCAGAGUCCAGGUAUAGUUCAUGUAAAAACAAGGUACUCCAGGAAAGAUCAAUUUGGGAAAGCACCAGAGCCCAGUACUACUUCAGGCAGUGCUAGAAGGCCAGGGUCACUGGUUGAGCCAGAGCCAGGAAAAGAGCUGGGAGCAAGUCUUACUGGACAGGUGAUGGUACACAGGCAGAAGAAUACAGAAACUGGCAGCUGAGGAAGUGUGCCCCGAAGGCCAGCACAGUCCCAUAGAAAGGGAAUGCUGUGUAUCCCCUGGACCAAGUGGGGAAGAAUUCUGAGCUCUGGCUGAGGACUAGAAAAGCCCUGAGGGGAGAGACUCCUCAGCGAGGCUGGGGUUGGAAAAGACCUUCAGAUCUCUCCUUGGAGGAACAGGGGAGCCCAGCCCUGCCAGAAAGGGAUACUGGGAGUCUGAAGAGGGGUGGAGUGCAGGGCAGAAGGCUGGAGGAAAGGGAUAUUGAGGAGACUUAAUAGACCAAAUGCCAUAAGGUCAAAUGCUGUACUAAAUACUCCUGGCUGCAAGUAACUGGGAGAACAAAGAAGAGACUGAGACACAAUGACUGCAAUGCUCCUCGUGGCCAUCAGGAGACUGUCUACUCUAAUAAAAUAAAAGAAAGCUGCUGGAUAGGACUAAGGAAAGAGAGGGAUGGCAGUGUGUAGAUGGAUCGCCUUUCAUUAAUGACACAAUUUCCCUGGAAAAGGGGGGGGCAAAAUAUGACCUGCGCUUACCUAAAUAUGUGUGCUGCGGUUCCUGGAGACUGCAUGUCUUUGAGACAUUGGAUCUGUGUCAAGAAAUCCACCUGAGCUUUCCCAGUCAGCAGAGCACAGCUUGUUCAAAUUUGUUUCUCCUGCAAGAAACUCAAAACUACUAAAAAGUUCCCCACUUCAUGCCUGUUUUUGUUGCUAAAGACAAGUCUGAGGCCCAGCAGUAUCCUCCCUGGGAGGACACCUUUCUUGGUAACACAGGAACAAUCUUAGCAAUGGGCCACAUCACUACAUCAGAAGCAUUAAUGAUGAUGCUGGUACAGAACAGUGGGAAGAAACCAAAUGGAGAACUCCCAACUUUGCUUUCUAUUCCAUGGGCUUCAGCUGUAUUCUGGACUGUUAAAUGUCAGACUUGAACACUUUAAUACUUGGAAAAAGACUUGCUUCACAUGUUGAAAAGCAUCUAUUUUAGAUAAAAAGAAUUUAAGAUUUGUUUUAAAAAGUGUAAACCUUGAUGUUCCUAUGUUUAUGUUAAUGUUUUGUACUUUUUAUGUUAAAGGCCCAAGGUGGCUGUUUUGUGCUUUGUUUAUAUUCUGUUUUCUAGAUGUUAGAUUUGUUUUUCCUGCCAGGAACUCAAAACUACUAAAAUGUUCCCCACUUAAUGACUGUUUUUGCUGCUAAAGACAAGUCUGAGACUCAGUAGCAUAAUCCCUGGGAGGACUCCUUUCUUGGUAACACAAAAACAACCUUGUUUUGAAGCAGUAAUGCUUAUGCCAGGGUGAGGACAGAAGUUGAAAUAAAAAAAAAAAAAAAGUGUUUUAUUAUUUCAGCACAGGAGGUGGGUACAGCCUCUGCAGUCUGCUGCGCUGCUUCAAAAUUGCUCUUUAGCUGUGGUGUGCAACAGGUAGCUGCAGGCAGCAGAUCUUCUGGAGCUUCCUUCCCCUGCCAGAACUGGGAUGCCAUAGUGGCACCCCCUUCCUCUAGAAUUAGAGAGGUAGCCAGGGAUUGGGGACUGAAGAGCCAAAAUCCCAGCUCCAGCUUUUUCUCUGGCAGCAAGUGUUUGGGGGCUACACCCAGCCUCUACAUGCUACGGCUCCUGGUACUGAGGAGGACGUGGGGGGAGGGUAGUCGUAGCCAGAGGAAUGGAGGGGCUUACCUGCCUCCAGUGAUGGCAGCAGGGAGUGGGGGGAGGUUACCCAGCUCUAGCUGAAACUGUCUGCACUCUGCUCUUCUCCCUUCCCUCCUUGCGUUUAUGUGCAGGCGGGUAGAAUGAGUUGCUAGUGGACCUACGGGUCCCCAUCCCACUCUACACUGCAUGCAUGUAUGGAGCAGUGGUGCACUUUAAACAGGUGCCAUU